UACAGAGGGUGCGAGCGUUAAUCGGAAUUACUGGGCGUAAAGCGCGCGUAGGCGGCUUUGCAAGUCGGAUGUGAAAUCCCCAGGCUCAACCUGGGAACUGCAUCCGAUACUGGAUGGCUUGAAUCCGGGAGAGGGAUGCAGAAUUCCAGGUGUAGCGGUGAAAUGCGUAGAUAUCUGGAGGAAUACCGGUGGCGAAGGCGGCAUCCUGGACCGGCAUUGACGCUGAGGAGCGAAAGCUAGGGGAGCAACGGG
rnacentral:rRNA from 1 species